rnacentral:lncRNA from 1 species
AUGAGGGUCUGCCACCCACUGGCAGUGACCCUGGACCUGUCACUUCCCCCUCAGACCCUACUCCCUCACCUUCAGAAACGGGUCAGUCUGCUAGAGGUUUUCCAAAACUCCUUCCAGCCAAGAGCCCCCAAGGCCAGUCAAGUGCCCCAGGGUGACUGCCACCAACGAAGGCGGCCACCGGCUGGCUUUCAUUCCCCCACCCUUCCCAGUCACAUAGUCCACAGCCAGCCCUGGUCCCCCGUCCCAGAGCGGAAACCGUCACCAAGGGCAAGGCGGCAGCCCCAGCGCUGGAGGCCGAGGCCUGAGAACAUGCCUUGGCCUCAUUCGAGACAAAACAAAGGACACAAGACUGAGGUCAGUUCUUCCACUGCAAACCAAACACAAGGCAGCGUCCAAUCCUCGCUUCUCUCUUUAGGACUGAGUCCCACAGGAGCUGCUCCAAAAAGCCCGAGCUAGGCCCACAAGUGGCAACUGUACGGCAGGAGGAGCGGUAACGGCAGGGCGCUCAUGCCUCCUCCCUGGGAGCCGCCAUCUUGUGUAAAGAAGUAACAACUAAACAUGGCGGCGGCGGUCGGGCGAGGGGGCGGAGCCCGUUGACGUCACCGACCGCGCUUGGGUCAGGUGCAGACAAGCCUCGCUCCAAGUCUCCCCAGAGCUCGCCUCCACGCCUCCGCCCUGGGAGCCGCCAUCUUGCCACUUCCCCUCGCCCGGCUGUCUACAGGCGUCAAUAGCGACUUUCAGCACAAAACAAAGAUGGCGGCGGCGGCAUCUGGGGAUGCCCGGAUGAAUAUGUCAGCUCCCCCAACACGCACACACAUACACAAAUGCGCGCGCGCGCGUGGCCCCGCCCCCCGGAACAGUCUCCCGGGUCGCUGAAGGGACACAAGUCACAGGAGUUGCUUUUAACCAGCAAUGGGGACAGGGACACGGGUGCUACGAGUUGCAGGGAACAAACACUACAGUAGCGCCUUCGGGCGAGAAGCAGCCGUUUUCCCGCCCAGCAUGGUCAGCCGCCGGAGGGGGACGGCGGUGGAGCCUUGGGCGGGGCGAGAACAGGCGGUGACGCACUGAGCGCCAUCGCUUGGGGGCGGGGCCACCACAGGCUCCCAGGCUCUGUCGGCCCCGC